CAGGAUGAACGCUAGCGACAGGCCUAACACAUGCAAGUCGAGGGGCAUCGGGACGUAGCAAUACGUUGCCGGCGACCGGCGGAUGGGUGAGUAACGCGUAUGCAACCUACCCGUAGCAGGGGGAUAGCCCGUUGAAAGACGGAUUAAUACCCCGUAACACAGGGGCUCCGCAUGGAGAUUAUUGUUAAAGGGUCAUUUCUUUUUCAGGGAUGGUCCGGCUGCGGAUGGGCAUGCGUUCCAUUAGGUAGUUGGUGUAGGUAACUGCUCACCAAGCCGACGAUGGAUAGGGGAACUGAGAGGUUGGUCCCCCACACUGGUACUGAGACACGGACCAGACUCCUACGGGAGGCAGCAGUGAGGAAUUUUGGUCAAUGGACGCAAGUCUGAACCAGCCAUGUCGCGUGAAGGAGGACGGCCCUAAGGGUUGUAAACUUCUUUUGCAGUGGAAUAAAGUUUGCCACGAGUUGGCGAUUUGCAAGUACGCUGCGAAUAAGGAUCGGCUAACUCCGUGCCAGCAGCCGCGGUAAUACGGAGGAUCCGGGCGUUAUCCGGAUUUAUUGGGUUUAAAGGGUGCGCAGGCGGGG
rnacentral:rRNA from 1 species